GGGGAUUCCUGGGAUGAGAGGAGGUAAAGGAGGGAGAGGAGGUAAUGGAGGAAUAAGCGAGAAGGGAGGUGGUGGUGGAGGAGGAUGAGGAGUUAGGCCAGGGAUUGGCGGGAAUGGAAACAAUGGUGAUGGAGGAGGCUGGAUCGGGUUAGGAGGAAAUAGUGGAGGAGGCUGAGGAGGAGGAGUUAGGCCAGGGAUUGGUGGGAAUGGAAACAAUGGUGAUGGAGGAGGCUGGAAUGGGUUAGGAGGAAAUAGUGGAGGAGGCUGGAAUGGGUUAGGAGGAAAUAGUGGAGGUGUUGGAAAUGAAAACUGAUUAGGAUGGUGCACUGCUUUCUGAUCUGGUAAUGUUGUGCUUUCAAAAGAUUCUGAAGUUUUGGUCUUUUUGGUAUUUCCUGGAAUAAUAGGUGGAAGUAAAGGUAGUCCUGGAAGAGGUGGAAGAGGAGGGAGUUGUGGUAAUGGUGGAAGAGGAGGGAGUUGUGGUAAUGGUGGCAAUUUUG
rnacentral:lncRNA from 1 species